AUUGAACGCGGCGGCAUGCUUACAGCCAUGCAAGUCGAACGGCAGCACGGGAGCAAUCCUGGUGGCGAGUGGCGAACGGGUGAGUAAUACAUCGGAACGUGCCCUGUAGUGGGGGAUAACUAGUCGAAAGACUAGCUAAUACCGCAUACGACCUGAGGGUGAAAGUGGGGGACCGCAAGGCCUCAUGCUAUAGGAGCGGCCGAUGUCUGAUUAGCUAGUUGGUGGGGUAAAGGCCUACCAAGGCGACGAUCAGUAGCUGGUCUGAGAGGACGAUCAGCUACACUGGGACUGAGACACGGCCCAGACUCCUACGGGAGGCAGCAGUGGGGAAUUUUGGACAAUGGGGGCAACCCUGAUCCAGCAAUGCCGCGUGUGUGAAGAAGGCCUUCGGGUUGUAAAGCACUUUUGUCCGGGAAGAAAUCGCACCUGAUAAUACCGGGUGUGGAUGACGGUACCGGAAGAAUAAGGACCGGCUAACUACGUGCCAGCAGCCGCGGUAAUACGUAGGGUCCAAGCGUUAAUCGGAAUUACUGGGCGUAAAGCGUGCGCAGGCGGUUGUGCAAGACCGAUGUGAAAUCCCCGGGCUUAGCCUGGGAAUUGCAUUGGUGACUGCACGGCUAGAGUGUGUCAGAGGGGGGUAGAAUUCCACGUGUAGCAGUGAAAUGCGUAGAGAUGUGGAGGAAUACCGAUGGCGAAGGCAGCCCCCUGGGAUAACACUGACGCUCAUGUACGAAAGCGCGGGGAGCAAACAGGAUUAGAUACCCUGGUA
rnacentral:rRNA from 1 species